rnacentral:rRNA from 1 species
CCUACGGGAGGCAGCAGUGGGGAAUAUUGCUCAAUGGGGGAAACCCUGAAGCAGCAACGCCGCGUGGGGGAAGAAGGUUUUCGGAAUGUAAAGCCCUUUUAGCAGGGAAGAAAAUGACGGUACCUAACUAAGAAGCACCGGCUAACUACGUGCCAGCAGCCGCGGUAAUACGGAGGGUGCAGGCGUUAUUCGGAUUAACUGGGCGUAAAGCGGGCGUAGGGGGGUUAGCAAGUCAGAUGUGAAAUACUAGGGCUUAACCAGAGAACUGCAUUUGAAACUGUCAGUCUGGAGGAUGGGAGAGGUAGGCGGAAUUCGUGGUGUAGGGGUGAAAUGCGUAGAGAUCAGGAGGAACACUGAUGGCGAAGGCGGCCUGCUGGACUGCAACUGACGCUGAGGCUCGAAAGCGUGGGGAGCAAACAGGAUUAGAUACCCGAGUAGUC